GACGAACGCUGGCGGCGUGCUUAACACAUGCAAGUCGAACGGUGAACCUCUUCGGGGGGGAUCAGUGGCGAACGGGUGCGUAACACGUGGGCAACCUGCCCCCGGCUCUGGGAUAACUCCAAGAAAUUGGGGCUAAUACCGGAUGUUCACCGCUUCCCGCAUGGGUGGUGGUGGAAAGGGUUUCCGGCUGGGGAUGGGCCCGCGGCCUAUCAGCUUGUUGGUGGGGUAGUGGCCUACCAAGGCGACGACGGGUAGCCGGCCUGAGAGGGUGACCGGCCACACUGGGACUGAGACACGGCCCAGACUCCUACGGGAGGCAGCAGUGGGGAAUAUUGCGCAAUGGGCGGAAGCCUGACGCAGCGACGCCGCGUGGGGGAUGACGGCCUUCGGGUUGUAACCCUCUUUCAGCAGGGACGAAGCGCAAGUGACGGUACCUGCAGAAGAAGCACCGGCCAACUACGUG
rnacentral:rRNA from 1 species